GACCACAUCCUAUUGAAACACCUAUUCCCGUGCGAUCACAUAAGUUAAGCAACGUCGAGCCUGGUCAGUUCUUUAAUGGUUGAAUGCUUGGGAAUAUCAGCUGUUGUAAG